AGAGAGAGACAUGCGCGCAUAUCAAUAAGCGGAGGAAAAGAAACUAACUAGGAUUCCCUCAGUAACGGCGAGUGAAGCGGGAAGAGCUCAAAUUUGAAAUCUUCAAGGUUUUACCUUGACGAAUUGUAGUUUAAAGAAGUGUUUUCUGUUGAGGUUUUGGUAAAAGUUCUUUGGAAUAGGACAUCAUAGAGGGUGAGAAUCCCGUAUUUGACCAUUACUUUCAGCUUUGUGAUACACUUUCAAAGAGUCGGAUUGUUUGGGAAUGCAGUCCAAAAUGGGUGGUAAAUUUCAUCUAAAGCUAAAUAUUGGCGAGAGACCGAUAGCGAACAAGUACCGUGAGGGAAAGAUGAAAAGAACUUUGAAAAGAGAGUUAAACAGUACGUGAAAUUGUCAAAAGGGAAGCGUUUGACACCAGUGUUGUUUUUCUGAAAAUCAAUUAAAGAACUGUUUAUGCUAAGUUGUUUAGACUUUAUCAGCUAUCUGUUUAGUUUUGAGCUUUUCUUUAAUGCACUUUUCAGUUAACAAGUCAACAUCAAUUUCUUUUGCUGUAAAAAAGCUUGAGGAAGGUGGCUUGAGAUUCGUCUUAAGUGUUUAUAGCCUCUUGCCUAUGCAGUCGGAGAGAUUGAGGUCUGCAGCGUAGAUCCUUCGGGGCUAAAUGCAUUUGUGCUAAGUUAUAGCAUUUUAUAGACAACUUGUUGACUAUGAUUUGUCUUGUAGCUUACUCGCUUAUGUUAUUUUACCUACGCUUAGGAUGUUGAUGUGAUACUGCGAGCA
rnacentral:rRNA from 1 species